UAAUUCUAGAGCUAAUAUUUUCAAAAAUGCCGUGACUCACGAAGCGGCGGAUUUAUUAGAUCAAAACCAACCUGCCGCAAGGCGGUUCUUUGAUGAAUCUGGAUAACUUUACUGAUCGUACAACCUCUGUGUUGACGACAUAUCUCUUGAAAAGGCUGACCUAUCAACUUUCGAUGGUAAGAUCAAAGCUUACCAUGGUUGUAACGGGUAACGGGGAAUCAGUGUUCGAUUCCGGAGAGGGAGCCUGAGAAACGGCUACCACAUCUACGGAAGGCAGCAGGCGCGUAAAUUACCCAAUACCGGCUCGGUGAGGUAGUGACAAAAAAUAGUAAUAUGGGCCCUAGUGGUUUCAUAAUUGCAAUGAGAACAUUUUAAAUACUUUAUCAAGUAUCAAUUGGAGUAUAUGUACGGUGCUCUUUAAUGGGUGUCGUGCGUAACCGGCAAGUUUACUUUGAAAAAAUUAGAGUGCUUAAAGCAGGCCGACGCUUGUAUAUUGUUGCAUGGAAUAAUGGAAUAGGACUUCGGUUUUAUUUUGUUGGUUUUCUUAACUGAAGUAAUGAUUAAAAGAGACUGCCGGGGGCACAUGUAUGCUGGUGGGAGAGGUGAAAUUCUUAGAUCGCCAGCAGACAAACAACUGCGAAAGCAUUUGCCAAGAAUGUUUUCAUUAAUCAAGAACGAAAGUCAGAGGAUCGAAGACGAUCAGAUACCGUCCUAGUUCUGACCAUAAACUAUGCCAACUGACAGUUAGUGAAGGUAGUUUUCACGUCCUCACUAGAAGUCACCGGGAAACCAAAGUCUAUGGGUUCCGGGGGAAGUAUGGUUGCAAAGCUGAAACUUAAAGGAAUUGACGGAAGGGCACCACCAGGAGUGGAGCCUGCGGCUUAAUUUGACUCAACACGGGAAAUCUCACCCGGUCCGGACACUGUGAGGAUUGACAGAUUGAUAGCUCUUUCUUGAUUCGGUGGGUGGUGGUGCAUGGCCGUUCUUAGUUGGUGGAGCGAUUUGUCUGGUUAAUUCCGAUAACGAACGAGACUCUGACCUGCUAACUAGUACACUCGUGUUUAAUCGCGAGUGCUGACUUCUUAGAGGAAUAUGUAGCUUUUAGCUAAAUGAAAUUGAGCAAUAACAGGUCUGUGAUGCCCUUAGAUGUCCGGGGCCGCACGCGCGCUACAAUGGCAGUACCAGCGAGUUUGUCCUAGCUAGAUAUGGCCGGGUAAUCUGCUGAAACACUGUCGUGUCAGGAAUAGUGGAUUGCAAUUUUCCCACUUGAACGAGGAAUUCCUAGUAAGCGCAAGUCACUAGCUUGCGCUGAUUACGUCCCUGCCCUUUGUACACACCGCCCGUCGCUACU
rnacentral:rRNA from 1 species